GUCUCUGCCCACAGUCUGAAGAAGGCUGGCUGCGGGAUGGAGGUGACUUUUGUGCUGGCUCCUGUGCAGAGCUCACCAGGGUUCUCUCCUCCCUAGCCCAUGCCACUUUUCAACACCCCAAGCCACCUCCUGGACAAGUUCAUCUAUGACUUCCUCCAGCCCGACAAGGUCUUCAUAGACCAGAUCAAAACAGCUGUUGACAUUGUCUGUUCCUUCCUUAAAGAGAAAUGCUUCCGGAAUUCUGGCACCAAAGUCCUGAAGACCGUCAAGGGAGGAUCCACUGCCAAAGGCACAGCCCUGAAGCAGGGAUCAGAUGCUGACAUCGUAGUGUUCCUCAGCUCGCUGGAGAGUUAUGACUCUCUAAAAAUCAAGCGCUCCUGGUUUGUCCAGAAGAUCCAGGAGCAGUUAGAAACCUACAUGCAGCCCCUUGAGUUGGAGGUGAAGUUUGCGAAAUCAAAAUGGAAGGACCCCAGGGUGCUGAGUUUUACCUUGAAAUCCAAGAGUCUCAAUGAAAGUGUCGAGUUCGAUGUCCUUCCUGCCUGUGAUACACUAGGUCAACUGCGGUCUGACUCCACCUCCAGGACUUCCAUGACCAAAGCCUACAAGGAUCUAAUUGAGCUGUAUGCAUCACAGGACAACCCCAAAGGGGGAGAGUUCUCAAUCUGUUUUACAGAACUACAGAGAAACUUCAUUGAAAGCCGGCCCACCAAACUGAAGAGUCUGAUCCGCCUGGUCAAGCGCUGGUACAAACAGUAUGAAAUGAAGAUGAAGCCAAAAGUAUCUUUGCCCCCAAAGUACGCCCUGGAGCUGCUCACCGUGUAUGCCUGGGAGCAGGGCAGUGGAAUAGAUGACUUUGACUCUGCUGAAGGCUUCCGGACCGUCCUGGACUUGGUCAUAAAAUACCGGCAGCUCUGCAUCUUCUGGACAGUCAAUUACAACUUCGAAGAGGAGUACAUGAGGUUGUUCCUACUGACCCAGAUCCAGAAAAAGAGGCCUGUGAUCCUGGAUCCAGCAGAUCCCACGGGCGACGUGGGAGGAGGUGACCGCUGGUGUUGGCAUCUUCUAGCUGAAGAAGCAAAGGAGUGGCUGUCUUCUCCCUGCUUCCAAGUGGGGAAAAAAGGCCCUGUACAGCCAUGGAAUGUGCUAGUACCUAGAGAUUCAGAGACAAAUGACAUGGUGGUAUCUAGUCUCUCCAGGAGGGAUCUUGUGACAGUACCAAGGCUUUUUGUCCUUUGUUUAG